rfam:Lactobacillus rennini DSM 20253 NODE_33, whole genome shotgun sequence.
GGUACUGUUUACCCCACGAUAAGCCCCGGAAACUUACUUGGUGUUUAAACAGACA